AACGCACAUGGCGCCCCCCGGCAUCCCGGGGGGCAUGCCUGUCCGAGCGUCGUUUCAACCCUCGAGCCCUACGUGGCCCGGCGUUGGGGACCUACGGCUCCGGCCGCAGGCCCCGAAAUCCAGUGGCGGACCCGCGACGGCCCCUCCUUUGCGCAGUAGCAUCAGCCUCGCAUCGGGAGCCCGCGGGCGCUCCGGCCUCUAAACCCCACUUUAAAGCCCGUCUCCGGCGGCACCAAGGUUGACCUCGGAUCAGGUAGGAAUACCCGCUGAACUUAA
rnacentral:misc_RNA from 1 species